AAAAUUAGAGUGUUCAAAGCAGGCAGAUCCAAUUUUCUGCCACCGAAUACAUUAGCAUGGGAUAAUGGAAUAGGACCCUGUCCUCCUAUUUUCAGUUGGUUUGCCGCGAGGACCAGGGUAAUGAUUAAUAGGGAUAGUUGGGGGCAUUAAUAUUUAAUUGUCAGAGGUGAAAUUCUUGGAUUUAUGAAAGAUUAACUUCUGCGAAAGCAUCUGCCAAGGAUGUUUUCAUUAAUCAAGAACGAAAGUUAGGGGAUCGAAGACGAUCAGAUACCGUCGUAGUCUUAACCAUAAACGAUGCCGACCAGCGAUUAGGAGACGUUGAAUACAAAACACCACCAUGCGCAUUGCGGUCGUCUUUGGUGUGUCGCUCACAAGGCGGCAUCAUCGGGACGGCUUAGCUCGCAUGGCACCGGUGAA
rnacentral:rRNA from 9 species